rnacentral:lncRNA from 1 species
AUGGGGGGAGCUGGGUUUGAGACUAAAUGCCAAGAAGAGUGUACUUUCUCCAGUUCAGAGAACCACCUAUCUAGGCGUAGUGUGGGAUUCGACCACGAUGCAGGCACGUCUGUCUCUUGCUCGGAUCGAGUCGAUCCUCACAUCAGUCAAGAGAGACAAAGAAGGCCAGUCACUCACUGUCAAACAAUUCCAGAGAUUGUUAGGGCUGAUGGCAGCUGCUUCCAAUGUGAUACAUUUUGGCCUGCUGCACAUGAGACCCCUACAGUGGUGGCUCAAGUCCAAGGGUUUGUGGAAGAAACCUUGGUUCUUGAAUCAGGGCCCGGUGCUGGGAGCUCCUUGUCGCCGUGUAACGCUAGCGACAGAUGCGUCCCUCACCGGUUGGGGUGCGGUCAUGAGUGGCCACCCUGCCCGCGGUCUGUGGAGUGGUCGCCAUCUGACAUGGUACAUCAAUUGCCUAGAGAUGCUAGUAGUCUAUCGAGCAUUGAAAUAUUUCCUCCCAGACCUGAGAGGUCACCAUGUGUUGGUGCGCACCAACAACACAUCAGUGUUCUCUUAUAUCAAUCACCGGGGGGUCUGCGUUCAUGCCCCUUGUACAAGCUGGCACACCAGAUCCUUAUGUGGUCCCAGGGCAAACUCCUCUCUCUCAGAGUAGUGUAUAUUCCUGGGAGAUUGAAUGUUGGAGCAGACAUACUGUCGAGGCAGGGGCCGAGGCCCGAGGAAUGGAUGCUUCACCCCGAGGUGGUGAAGCAGAUAUGGAGAGUAUUUGGCACAGCCCAGGUGGACCUCUUUGCGACUCAGGAGACAUUGCAAUGUACCCUCUGGUUCUCUCUAGUUCAUCCAGCUCCUCUGGGACUGGACGCUAUGGUACAGACCUGGCCGAGGCUUCGUCUGUACGCAUUUCCCCCUAUUGCUCUGCUCCCGGGAGUUCUGGCGAGAGUACGCCAGGAUGGGGUCCAUCUGUUAUUAGUAACCCCGUUCUGGCUGGGCCGAGUAUGGUUCGCAGAUAUAGUCUCGCUCCUUGACGGCUUUCCCUGGGAGAUAGGGCCGAUCAGGACAGACCUACUCUCACAGGCGCAGGACACGAUAAUUCACCCUCGUCCAGAGUUGUGGAAGCUGUGGGUGUGGCCCCUGAGGGGGCACAACUGUUAG